rnacentral:rRNA from 1 species
ACGUUACCUGCAGAAGAAGCACCGGCUAACUCCGUGCCAGCAGCUGCGGUAAUACGGAGGGUGCAAGCGUUAAUCGGAAUUACUGGGCGUAAAGCGCGCGUAGGCGGUCGGAUAAGUUGGAUGUGAAAGCCCUGGGCUCAACCUGGGAAUUGCAUUCGAUACUGUCUGGCUAGAGUUUGGUAGAGGGUGGUGGAAUUCCCGGUGUAGCGGUGAAAUGCGUAAAUAUCGGGAGGAACAUCAGUGGCGAAGGCGACCACCUGGACCAAAACUGACGCUUAGGUGCGAAAGCGUGGGGAGCAUACAGGAUUAGAUACCCUGGUAGUCCACGCCGUAAACCAUGAGAACUAGCCGUCGGGUUCAUUAUGAGCUUGGUGGCACAGCUAACGCGUUAAGUUCUCCGCCUGGGGAGUACGGCCGCCAGGUUAAAACUCAAAGGAAUUGAC